UACGGAGGGUGCGAGCGUUAUCCGGAAUCACUGGGUUUAAAGGGUGCGUAGGCGGUCUGAUAAGUCAGUUGUGAAAUUCCUCGGCUUAACCGAGUGGACUGCGAUUGAUACUGUCAGACUUGAAUCAGGUUGAGGUAGGCGGAAUGUGACAUGUAGCGGUGAAAUGCGUAGAUAUCUGGAGGAACACCGGUGGCGAAGGCGGCAUCCUGGACCAACACUGACACUGAGGAGCGAAAGCCAGGGGAGCAAACGGG
rnacentral:rRNA from 1 species